GCCUGGGUGGCUCAGUCGGUUGAGUGUCUGACUUCAGCUCAGAUCACGAUCUCACGGUCUGUGAGUUCGAGCCCCAUGUCGGGCU
rnacentral:tRNA from 1 species